rnacentral:tRNA from 1 species
UGGAAUAGCUCAAUUGGUAGAGCAUCUGAAUCGUAAUCAGGAGGUUGCGGGUUCAAUUCCUGCUUCCAG